CUUGCAUCGGUUCCUAUGAGAAAACACCCUUAGGGCCAUCGGUGGGCCGAAAAAAUACAAAAAAUUGAAACUUACCGGCAAUGGGGCUCUCCGGUGCAGCGGCUCCUCCGGUUCACGUCGCGGUUUGGUAUUUUGCUCCAGUCAAACUGUAGAUGAGGAAAUGGUAAUCACAAAGGUGGAAAAAUCACAUCGAACGGGAAUCGGGAAGGGCCUCAUCGGAGAUACGCUGGGCUUCGGUGGCGUUUCUCGGCCAAUUGGCCGGUGCUUUCACUCCGAUUUGGCCAUAGAUGGGUUUAGAAUUGAAUUCUGAGCAAAGAGUAGAAUUUUUACCUAGUUUGGCGGCCGAAAAUUGCUCCGGUACGGCGGCGGGCGGCAGCGGUCGACUCCCCGGCAGCUGGGCUGUCUUCUCCGGCGAAGGGCUCUAGCGGCUAGGGUUAGGGUUGGGGUGCGAAUGAGAUUAUUUAUAACCAUCCGCUUUUGAUAUGAGUCGUGCAUCGCAUUUAAUCUGGACCGUCCGAUCGUGAUUAAAUAAAAAAUGAAUAU
rnacentral:lncRNA from 1 species